UCGGGGUGAUUGUUGGGGAUCGAGCGGCGGACGGGUGAGUAACACGUGGGUAACUUACCUGCGAGAUCGGGAUAACCCCGGGAAACCGGGGCUAAUACCGAAUGAUCGUUGGAACCGCAUGGUUCCAACGUAAAAGGCGGCUUUUGCCGUCACUCGCAAAUGGACCCGCGGCGCAUUAGCUAGUUGGUAAGGUAAUGGCUUACCAAGGCAACGAUGCGUAGCCGACCUGAGAGGGUGAUCGGCCACACUGGGACUGAGACACGGCCCAAACUCCUACGGGAGGCAGCAGUAGGGAAUCUUCCGCAAUGGACGAAAGUCUGACGGAGCAACGCCGCGUGAACGAUGAAGGUCUUCGGAUCGUAAAGUUCUGUUGUUAGGGAAGAACAAGUACCAGAGGAAAUGCUGGUACCUUGACGGUACCUAACCAGAAAGCCACGGCUAACUACGUGCCAGCAGCCGCGGUAAUACGUAGGUGGCAAGCGUUGUCCGGAAUUAUUGGGCGUAAAGCGCGCGCAGGCGGUUCCUUAAGUCUGAUGUGAAAGCCCACAGCUCAACUGUGGAGGGCCAUUGGAAACUGGGGAACUUGAGUACAGAAGAGGAGAGCGGAAUUCCACGUGUAGC
rnacentral:rRNA from 1 species